rnacentral:sRNA from 1 species
AGGGUAGGGACAAUCAUUAAGCUUUUCCCUUGAAGCACGGUUAGCCGUUUACAAAACGAACACAAGUACCACAGAGGUCAGGAGUGAACAGGAUUAGCAAGCCCUUGUUUCUGACCUUCUACUUCAGGUGGCCAAGGUCAACAUUUUGUUGCAUAACCACUAACAGCUUUUCUGUAAACAUUGGUCUUUUACCAAACAGCCAGCAUUUACUGAACAAAAUAUAUCUGAUAAUUUUUCUAAGUUGAACGCACAAGUCAGAGAAUCAACACUGGAAAAUGUAGGAUACAUUUUUUUUUCUACAUUUGAAGCCUAGGGAGAUGUCUCAACAGAUAAAAGGACUCACAGCAUAAGCCUGAUGGAGUCCAAUCCCCGGGUCCCACAUAAAGGUGAAGGUAGAGAAGUGACUUCACAAAGCUACCCUUUGAUCUCUACACGUACCAUUGUAAAUAAAAUGAACCAAGGACAUUUUAGCAGGUUGACUUCUCCACUCACUUUGUUCCAGUUUUGCCAGUCUAUGCCUCCCUCUGGAAUGAGUUCACCGCCCUAUCCAAACAAGUGCAGUGAAAAUAAACAGUAUAAGAUUGACUUCUCUUUCCUUAAUGUUCAAAACUUUACCAGGUCUGUUGGUGCACACCUGCACUCCUGGCUAAUUGGAAGAUUGAAGGAAGAAAGUGAGUUCGAAGCUUGUCUAGGUUAGAGAGUGAGGUCCAAGGUCAAGGCAACUUAACUCAAUCUGAAAGUGAGGGGCCCAGGCUGGGGACAGAACUGAGCAACAGAGUUCUCAGUCAAUUGCAGAUGUGACCAAGCCAAGUACCCUCUGUCCUGUUUGUCUCCUUGUUGAGAAGCAGAUGUAGUUUGCUGCUCUGGCAUUUUUCUGUUAUGUGAUGGCACCGAGCACAAGAAUGUGGAAACUCCACACUCCCAUAGAGCUGCUGCUGAUCAGGGCAGAGCAAAACCUGUUCUCUGGAGAAACAACAAACAAAACCAUCGGUGGAAGCCAUGGUAAACUGUGACAGUCUCCCUGAUUCCUACAAGCAGCAAAGCAAGUCCUGGCGGGGCCUGAUGCUUUAAACUUACUUAGCAUGUGUCAGUUGUAAAAAGGCUUUCAGGCAAACCGGUUUUGAUUCUAAUGUCACUUCUGUUCACUAGUCCCUCUGCACAGACCCCCAAAAGACUACUUUCUCUGCUCCAUGUUAUCUUUUAUUAAACAAGGUCUUAAUAGGACUCUUGUGAAUCCUUGUCUUUUUCAAAGCCCUGUGGCCCUUGCUGCCCCCACAGCCUGAAUGCUUAACUCUACAUUGGAAGCACUUUUUUUUUUUUAACUUCUGGAGGUGGGGGUUGGGGGACGUUGUCUGUGGCAUGUGGAUGGAUGGAACUUUGGAAAACAUUAUGUUGGACUCCAGGCUUGUCUGCCCAGUUGCUGUCACAGAAUAGCCUCCAGUUAGCCACACUUGUCUGGAAUGGCAGGCACCAAGUGAUGGCCUCGGAAAGGGUCAACCUCUCCUGGGAUGACCUGUCCAGUGUCAAUUUACUUGAUGUAUUAGGAGAAGAAGGGUGUGUGUGUGUGUGUGUGUGUGUCUGUCUGUCUGUCUGUCUGUCUGUCUGUCUGUCUGUCUCAAAGGGUUGGUGGAGGGACAGGAGUCAUAACUCAAUGAUACAAAACACCCUGCAAAGAAGUAAAUGGAUCAGCUAGACAGAGUUCUGACACCCCUUGUCCCAAGUCCUUUUGCUUUGUGUAAAUUCUUAUAAGUGGAGCCCCUAUCAGCUACCCAGAGGUGUCUAUUGGCCUGUCUCAAAAAUUCAGAGUAUUUGGAAAACUCCAAAGCCUUCAUACAACCAUGAAAUCUCAUCUCCUUUAGUAUUUAAUGAUCUUGAGUCUCUAUCUGCAAAAGCUUUUCCCCUUCAAAAUACAUCUGAAAACAGUGUCAGCUCUCUAGCAACGUGAGCUCUUAUGUAAUAUCUAAUAAUGCCUCUUCCUGAAGUCCCUCUUUAGCACUUCCUGAGUUUGUCCCUGAGAUGCUGGCCAAUGCCGCUUCUUCCAGUUAGCUCCCACUUUAACUGUUUGUUUGCCGUUUUCCCAGUAGAUGAUUAAAAUGGGUGUGGGCCCGUAUCUUUUUCACUUAGUACCAUGAUGAGCAUGGCAUAGAGGCUCAGCACAGAUUGUUUACUGGAUAGAUGGUCUAGGUUGGCAUUAAUUAACGACAUCUCACAGUCAGGACUAUAUAGCUAGAAAAAAUACUGAUAAGGUCGGGUAGGGCUAAGUGACCAAGAGUCCUGGCUAUUUGCCUGAGCCUGAGAGGUUUACCAGGAUUCAGGACUUUUCUAAAGCAGUCCAGGGCAAUCUAGAUCACCCCAGGAGGGGAGCGUAUGGGAGUAAAAUAGCAGCAGGGGGAAAGGGGAAGAUAGAACAGUCCACAGGGCAUCUGCUCCUUUAUGAAUUAGUCCUACACCGGAGGGAUGUGGGUAAUGCCUCCUACAUCGACUACUUUGGAGUUAGGUUUGAUCCUUUGGGGAUCGGAGGUGGAAAGGUGUGCACAGAGGAAGAGCUGGAAGAUGGGGUGGGAGGGACUAAGCAGACAGAAUGCAAAUGCUGGUGAACCUGGGGAUUAAAUAGAGCAAGGAUGAGGAGGCAGCCAGCCAGCGCCAGCCUCUUCUGAUCAUCUCCACAACACCAUCACAUCUACACAGAAGCAAGAGGCCUGGCUGUCAGCCCUUGUCCCAGCUCUCCCUAUAAAUAGCUAGUUGUCUUUAGACAAAUCACUGAACCUUUCUGGGUCUCAAGGAAUUGAAUGGUUCUUGCAGUCCAUGUUAGCAUGUCCUAAUGACUGGGCGGAAUUGAUAGGCUGCAGCAGAUUGGUUCCUACCCUCAAGAGUUCCUCAUCUACAGAUACUGAAGAGGCUCGAAUUUGUGCUUUUUGUAGUGCCAGGUGAAGUCUAUCCUGCUGUCCAGGCACCUACAAGUCUGAAAAUGGCCUCCGGGCCAAGAGUCUCUAGUUUCGACUACAACUUGACUGACAAGCUGCUAUUCUCACGUAAGUUCCCUAAUUUCUCCUCCUCUCGGCUCUCAAGUGACAAACAGUAACACGAAAUAAGAUACUGUGAGGAAAGUCAUCGGCACCUGUGCCUUAGACCCAGCCGCUACUCUAAUGAGGAGAGCCACGGUGUCGCAUGUCCAGGGUGCCUGGAGAUGGUGUAGUACACAUUUGGGUCAACCUAGAUGGACAGAGAAAAAGGCUGUCCCUCAGGGGGCAUGACUCAGAAUAUUCUGAAACUGUCACAAAGCCAGUAGCCUGAUCCCACAAGCCCCAUUCAGACCCUAGCUCCUCCUCAUGAAACCUCUUUGUACCAUCGUCAUGGAGACAGGCACCUGCUCCCGUGGCCCCUCAGCUGCUUGAAAGUUUACCCUACUAGUAGGACUGGUUUACUCCCUCUGCUCAGCACCCUUGUGACUCCAGGGACAGCUGGCUGGAACAGUGAAGUGGGAGAAAAGUGAAGCAGUCGAGAAAGGCAUCAGAGUGGGUAAGAAAGACAGCCGCUCUAAUUGAACCGAUAAGCCGUUGGCAGGAUCGGCGAAACCUUUGGCAGCGUGAGGUAGGGCUCAGCAACAGCUGACAGCAGGCGUUGCCCUUUGGUUGCUUCUGCUGUCAUAACAUUAUGACAUUAAAAUGCCUUUGUCCCAUUAUUGUUGUAGGUGCCUCUGUGUCCUGGCUUCUUAUGGACAAUCGUAUUCUUAUUCAGAAGGACAUUCUUUAACAGAUGUGAGAAAACAACCUCGUGCUCUUAUGGCCAUGCCUCUUCUACCACAAUGACUGGAACCCUUUCAAACCAAACCGACCACAAUGCUAUAUAUCUAGGAAUAACAGGAAGAAAUUUUGGAUAUUUUAUAAAUAACUAAACGUUAAACGACAUACUCCUGAUCAACUUUGGAAGUCCACGAAUAAAUCUAAAGGGUUAAAAAAAAUUAAAACGUAAAGAUUCCUGAGAAAAAUUAGUUGAAGGACUGAUCCAAAAAAAAGACGGAAAGGA